CGAGUCUGCCUUGAAGAUCGGAGUGCUUGCACUCUGUGAAACAAGAUACAGGCUAGCGGCGGACGGGUGAGUAACACGUGGGUAACCUGCCCAAGAGAUCGGGAUAACACCUGGAAACAGAUGCUAAUACCGGAUAACAACAGAUGAUGCCUAUCAACUGUUUAAAAGAUGGUUCUGCUAUCACUCUUGGAUGGACCUGCGGUGCAUUAGCUAGUUGGUAGGGUAACGGCCUACCAAGGCGAUGAUGCAUAGCCGGGUUGAGAGACUGAUCGGCCACAUUGGGACUGAGACACGGCCCAAACUCCUACGGGAGGCAGCAGUAGGGAAUCUUCCACAAUGGACGCAAGUCUGAUGGAGCAACGCCGCGUGAGUGAAGAAGGGUUUCGGCUCGUAAAGCUCUGUUGUUGGUGAA
rnacentral:rRNA from 1 species